UUUAAAUUGAGAGUUUGAUCCUGGCUCAGGAUGAACGCUGGCGGCGUGCCUAAUACAUGCAAGUCGUACGCUAGCCGCUGAAUUGAUCCUUCGGGUGAAGUGAGGCAAUGACUAGAGUGGCGAACUGGUGAGUAACACGUAAGAAACCUGCCCUUUAGUGGGGGAUAACAUUUGGAAACAGAUGCUAAUACCGCGUAACAACAAAUCACACAUGUGAUCUGUUUGAAAGGUCCUUUUGGAUCGCUAGAGGAU
rnacentral:rRNA from 1 species